rnacentral:rRNA from 1 species
GUGGUGCAUGGCUGUCGUCAGCUCGUGUCGUGAGAUGUUGGGUUAAGUCCCGCAACGAGCGCAACCCUCGUUUUUAGUUGCCAAUUUAUUGGGUUUUCUAGAGAGACUGCCGGUGACAAACCGGAGGAAGGUGAGGAUGACGUCAAGUCAGCAUGCCCCUUAUGUCCUGGGCCACACACGUGCUACAAUGGCGGAGACAAAGAGUCGCAAACCUGCGAAGGCUAGCUAAUCUCAUAAACUUCGUCUAAGUUCGGAUUGUAGGCUGCAACUCGCCUACAUGAAGUUGGAAUCGCUAGUAAUCGCUGGUCAGC